UGAAUUAACAAAAAAGAAGGUGGAACGUGCAGGACACGAGGGAAUGAGUUUCUUACCUAUACACAUCGUCCAUUACUAUGAGAUUUUUUAUUGAGGAACUUGCUUAUACUUUCAUACAAACCUCACAUUUCUGCCAGGUUCAUAGUUGUUGACCUUUGUGAUAAAUCAUAUUGCUGUGAGAUUUAUUGCUAUGGAACUCUGUAUUGAAAUUAUAUACACCAUAUAUAUAUGUGAGUUUUACUGCUGUGGCGCUUUGUGAAACACUCACAGACAAAAAUGGACAUAGAGAUCUCAUCUUUAAAUGUUGUCUUCAAACAUAUUUUAGUGAUGCAUCUUUAUCAUGAAAAGUAAGACUAUAGCAGGUCUUACUAAUCCAUUUUGGCAUACACAACACUUUCCAUAGGAUUAGGAUGACUUUAGAUCUAUUUGUAUCAGCACAGAGUAGCCAUAUGUUCAUUCACUUCGAUUAUAACAGAUACCUAAUGGCUUUGUCAUGACUCCAAACCUAUAGAUAUAGGGAAGGAAUGCUAAUACAUAUCAGUCCAUUCACACACAGAACAUUUCCUACAAAGGUACCACAAUUUAUGGGGUUUCGGAAAGACCUCAGUUAGAACCCAUGAUCACACUUGUACAUUGUCCAUAAACAAUUGCCAUGGAAUGAUGGCAACUGUAUUCUAUGAGCAUCUUGUGGAAAUCUCUUGCCUAGAGAGAGAAUAUCAGAUACAAGCAAGAAUAUGUUAAGGAAGUGAACUGCUCUAAAUUGUGUCCACAUAAUCAGCAAUAAACUAUUUACCUCUUCAAAAGCUUCAGGAUCCAAGCAUUGAUUUAUUGAAAAUACAUCAUGUUCCAAGCACUUGCCGCAGAUCUUUGUGUUAGUUUUCAUUGGAUAAACAACCAGCAAGACCAAUUUAUAUCGAAGUUUUAUAUGACCAAGAAAGGGUUACCUUUUCUGAGAAUAAUUGUAGACCCUGAGACAAAUGUUACUGUCCUUUGAAGCAAAGGAAACCAAUUAAUAGUCAUAAUAUACAGGCACAAAAUAGGUAAAUUGUCUUUUUCUAUAUUUUUUGUUUUACUAAACGUUGG